CUACUGCCCUGUAUCUCUCCUGGUGUCCAUCCACCCAGGGCCAGGCAUGUUAUCUGAAUCAUGACUGUGCUAAUAUUUUGUAAGUUGGUUUUUGAAGAUUUUCUCAGAGCCAGAGUCAAGUGGAAAUGGUAGAAUAUUUAUGACUGGAGUUCUGUUAGUGACGGAGUCUCAUAUGCUAUUGAGUUCUCUACAAAGACAAAAUUAAGGUCAUGCUGAGCAAUCAGGUAUUCUGGGAGUUUCUCCCUUACUUGACUUGGAAACACUUCUCCACUGGCUCUUCCCCACCACUGUGACAGUCCCUCGCAGUCCCACAUGCACUCCUGGUCCAGACAUGUGGCUGCCGCUCUGGGCUUUUUCCACAGCAUGGCC
rnacentral:lncRNA from 1 species